rnacentral:rRNA from 1 species
AUUGAACGCUGGCGGCAGGCCUAACACAUGCAAGUCGAACGAGUGGCGGACGGGUGAGUAAUGUCUGGGAAACUGCCUGAUGGAGGGGGAUAACUACUGGAAACGGUAGCUAAUACCGCAUACCCUCAGAUGUGCCCAUAUGGGAUUGGCUAGUUGGUGGGGUACCGGCUCACCAAGGCGACGAUCCCUAGCUGGUCUGAGAGGAUGACCAGCCCAACUGGAACUGAGCCACGGCCCAGACUCCUCCGGGAGGCAGCAGUGGGGAAUAUUGCACAAUGGGCGCAAGCCUUAGGCAGCCCUGCCGCGUGUAUGAAGCAGGCCUUCGGGUUGUAAAGUACUUUCAUCGGGGAGGCGUUACCCGCAGAAGAAGCACCGGCUAACUCCGUGCCAGCAGCCGCGGUAAUAC